rnacentral:rRNA from 1 species
AGAUUGAACGCUGGCGGCGUGCCUAACACAUGCAAGUCGAGCGGUAACAGGUGUAGCAAUACAUGCUGACGAGCGGCGAACGGGUGAGCAAUGCUUCGGAAUCUGCCCAAUGAUGGGGAAUAACCAGUCGAAAGAUUGGCUAAUACCGCAUACGCCCUUCGGGGGAAAGCGGGGGCUCGUAAGACCUCGCGUCGAUGGAUGAGCCGAAGUCGGAUAGCUAGUGGUAGGUACGCCUACAAGGCACGAUCGUAGCUGGUCUGAGACGGACGACCAGCCACACGUGGGACUGAGACACGGCCAGCUCGACGGGAGCAGCAGGUGGGAAUGUAGAGAAGUGGGGACACCUGACUCCGAGCGACGCCGCGUAGUGUAGGAAGAGGCCGU